rnacentral:rRNA from 1 species
GAUGAACGCUGGCGGCGUGCCUAAUACAUGCAAGUCGAGCGAACGGACGAGAAGCUUGCUUCUCUGAUGUUAGCGGCGGACGGGUGAGUAACACGUGGAUAACCUACCUAUAAGACUGGGAUAACUUCGGGAAACCGGAGCUAAUACCGGAUAAUAUUUUGAACCGCAUGGUUCAAAAGUGAAAGACGGUCUUGCUGUCACUUAUAGAUGGAUCCGCGCUGCAUUAGCUAGUUGGUAAGGUAACGGCUUACCAAGGCAACGAUGCAUAGCCGACCUGAGAGGGUGAUCGGCCACACUGGAACUGAGACGCGGUCCAGACUCCUACGGGAGGCAGCAGUAGGGAAUCUUCCGCAAUGGGCGAAAGCCUGACGGAGCAACGCCGCGUGAGUGAUGAAGGUCUUCGGAUCGUAAAACUCUGUUAUUAGGGAAGAACAUAUGUGUAAGUAACUGUGCACAUCUUGACGGUACCUAAUCAGAAAGCCACGGCUAACUACGUGCCAGCAGCCGCGGUAAUACGUAGGUGGCAAGCGUUAUCCGGAAUUAUUGGGCGUAAAGCGCGCGUAGGCGGUUUUUUAAGUCUGAUGUGAAAGCCCACGGCUCAACCGUGGAGGGUCAUUGGAAACUGGAAAACUUGAGUGCAGAAGAGGAAAGUGGAAUUCCAUGUGUAGCGGUGAAAUGCGCAGAGAUAUGGAGGAACACCAGUGGCGAAGGCGACUUUCUGGUCUGUAACUGACGCUGAUGUGCGAAAGCGUGGGGAUCAAACAGGAUUAGAUACCCUGGUAGUCCACGCCGUAAACGAUGAGUGCUAAGUGUUAGGGGGUUUCCGCCCCUUAGUGCUGCAGCUAACGCAUUAAGCACUCCGCCUGGGGAGUACGACCGCAAGGUUGAAACUCAAAGGAAUUGACGGGGACCCGCACAAGCGGUGGAGCAUGUGGUUUAAUUCGAAGCAACGCGAAGAACCUUACCAAAUCUUGACAUCCUUUGACAACUCUAGAGAUAGAGCCUUCCCCUUCGGGGGACAAAGUGACAGGUGGUGCAUGGUUGUCGUCAGCUCGUGUCGUGAGAUGUUGGGUUAAGUCCCGCAACGAGCGCAACCCUUAAGCUUAGUUGCCAUCAUUAAGUUGGGCACUCUAAGUUGACUGCCGGUGACAAACCGGAGGAAGGUGGGGAUGACGUCAAAUCAUCAUGCCCCUUAUGAUUUGGGCUACACACGUGCUACAAUGGACAAUACAAAGGGCAGCGAAACCGCGAGGUCAAGCAAAUCCCAUAAAGUUGUUCUCAGUUCGGAUUGUAGUCUGCAACUCGACUACAUGAAGCUGGAAUCGCUAGUAAUCGUAGAUCAGCAUGCUACGGUGAAUACGUUCCCGGGUCU